rnacentral:rRNA from 1 species
UACUGGAAUGUUCUUUGGUUUAAAACUCCGGUGCCCAAAGAUGGGUCUGUGUCCUAUCAGGUAGUAGUGGGUGUAACGUACCUACUAGCCGACGACGGGUAAGGGUUGUGAGAGCAAAAGCCCUGAGAUGGAUUCUGAGACAUGAAUCCAGGCCCUACGGGGUGCAGCAGGCGCGAAACCUUUACAAUGCGGGAAACCGCGAUAAGGAGACCCCGAGUGUUAGCACCAAGUGCUGACUGUCCUACUGUCUAAACAACAGUGGUUAGCAAGGGCCGGGCAAGACCGGUGCCAGCCGCCGCGGUAACACCGGCGGCCCGAGUGGUAACCGCUAUUAUUGGGUUUAAAGGGUUCGUAGCCGGCCUAUUAAGUUUCUUGGGAAAUCUGGCAACUUAAAUUGGUCAGGGAGGCCAAAGGAAAAAUAACUUGGGUAAGGGCUUUGGGGAACCCGGGAAGGGGGGGUGAAGAAGGUUACCUUCCCAGGGGGUUAGGGGGUGGAAAAUUCUUGGUAAUCCCUUGGAAGGACCACCGAUGGCGAAAGGCAUCCUCACCCAGAAACGGGUUCGACGUGAAGGAAGAAAGCUUGGGGGCACGAACCCGGAUUAAAUUCCCGGGUAGUCCCAGCCGUUAACACAUGUUUGUAAGUGUCCAGUGCGUUCAACACAUCUGUGCC